GGCGGGACACGUGGUAUCCUGUCUGAAUAUGGGGGGACCAUCCUCCAAGGCUAAAUACUCCUGACUGACCGAUAGUGAACCAGUACCGUGAGGGAAAGGCGAAAAGAACCCCGGCGAGGGGAGUGAAAAAGAACCUGAAACCGUGUACGUACAAGCAGUGGGAGCACCCUUUGGGGUGUGACUGCGUACCUUUUGUAUAAUGGGUCAGCGACUUAUAUUCUGUAGCAAGGUUAACCGAAUAGGGGAGCCGGAGGGAAACCGAGUCUUAAUUGGGCGUUAAGUUGCAGGGUAUAGACCCGAAACCCGGUGAUCUAGCCAUGGGCAGGUUGAAGGUUGGGUAACACUAACUGGAGGACCGAACCGACUAAUGUUGAAAAAUUAGCGGAUGACCUGUGGCUGGGGGUGAAAGGCCAAUCAAACCGGGAGAUAGCUGGUUCUCCCCGAAAGCUAUUUAGGUAGCGCCUCGUGAAUUCAUCUCCGGGGGUAGAGCACUGUUUCGGCUAGGGGGCCAUCCCGGCUUACCAACCCGAUGCAAACUGCGAAUACCGGAGAAUGUUAUCACGGGAGACACACGGCGGGUGCUAACGUCCGUCGUGAAGAGGGAAACAACCCAGACCGCCAGCUAAGGUCCCAAAGUCAUGGUUAAGUGGGAAACGAUGUGGGAAGGCCCAGACAGCCAGGAUGUUGGCUUAGAAGCAGCCAUCAUUUAAAGAAAGCGUAAUAGCUCACUGGUCGAGUCGGCCUGCGCGGAAGAUGUAACGGGGCUAAACCAUGCACCGAAGCUGCGGCAGCGACGCUGAUGCGUUGUUGGGUAGGGGAGCGUUCUGUAAGCCUGUGAAGGUGGCCUGUGAGGGUUGCUGGAGGUAUCAGAAGUGCGAAUGCUGACAUAAGUAACGAUAAAGCGGGUGAAAAGCCCGCUCGCCGGAAGACCAAGGGUUCCUGUCCAACGUUAAUCGGGGCAGGGUGAGUCGACCCCUAAGGCGAGGCCGAAAGGCGUAGUCGAUGGGAAACGGGUUAAUAUUCCCGUACUUGGUGUUACUGCGAAGGGGGGACGGAGAAGGCUAUGUUGGCCGGGCGACGGUU
rnacentral:rRNA from 2 species